rnacentral:misc_RNA from 1 species
AAGUCGUAACAAGGUUUCCGUAGGUGAACCUGCGGAAGGAUCAUUCAAAAUAAAAGUGAAUUUUAUGGCACUUUUAAAAAAAUCCAUAUCCACCUUGUGUGCAAUGUAAUUUUGAAAGAGGAUAUAGGAUUUUUUUUAUUUUUAUCCUUUUUUCUAAUAUCAUCAACUCUUUGCUUUGAAACCUGUUUGUCUGAUAUAAAAAUAUUCUUGAAUAACUUAAUUCAAAAAUACAACUUUCAACAACGGAUCUCUUGGCUCUC